rnacentral:lncRNA from 1 species
ACGUCCCCGUUUGUCUCUCAGGACAUCGACGCGUUCCUGGUCCGUGCCCGCGAGCGCAGCUACGAGACCGCGCUGAGCUUCGGCAAGAGGGGCCUCAACCUGGCGGCCACUGCUGCUGUCCAGGCAGCCACCAAGAGCCAGGGCGCGCUGGCCGGGCGGCUCCGCAGCUUCAGCGCGCACGACCUGCGCUCCCUGACCGAGCAGGCCCCUGUGCACUUCCAGGACCCACUGUACCUGGAGGAGCAGGAGGACCUCCAGCAGCCCAUGGGGCUCCGCUACGAGAGCCAGUCGGACGAGGAGGAGCUGUGGUCGGACUCGCAGGUGUCCCCCUCGGUGUCCUCACGCCAGGAUGCCAGGCCCCUGUCCCGCUGGCAGAGCCUGAGAAGCGUGAGGAAGAACCCAGGAAAAGAGGGCUCCUGCCGCCUCCGGCGCAGCCGGACCAGGAGGAGAGCGGCUCUGUCGGAGCAGGAGAGCUGAGAAUGCCAGGAAACUCUGCCAGGAGGCUGGACAGGAAUUUGCUGCUGCGGCAUCAGGAGGGACCUGUGGCUUCUGGCAUCCCCUGGGGCGGCUCCUGCACCCCUGGGGAGGCUCCUGGAGUCCCCAGGGUGGCUCCUGCACCCCUGGGGAGGCUCCUGCACCCCUGGGAUCCUCCCACUGUCAAUCCCUUCCACGUGGCCCCUGGAGGAGGGGGAGCAGCUCACCCCCAGCCCCCCCAGCUCGGCGCUGGCGCCUCUCCUGUGGGGUCUGGCCCCUCCUUUUUCCCUAUGCCAUGAACACUACAGGCUCCCCCCCUCUCCUGCUGCCAUGGUGCCUUGUUCACAACAUUCCCGUUCCCCUGGGAGCCAGCAGUGCGUGUGCCUUGUCCCUCUGAAGCCAAAGCCACGGGCCCUGCCUGGGCCCCCCACCAGACACACACUGACACCCCCAUACUUGAGCCCAGAGCGCUGGGCAGCACACAGCUUUUAACAUUCCCCUCUCCCAAAAAGAGGGUUUUGUACCUGGAGAAAUAAAUGUUUGUUUCAGACUUUGGGAGGCA